UUUCCGUAGGUGAACCUGCGGAAGGAUCAUUAUCGUACAACCGAGGUGCGAGGUCUGUCGCUGUCCUUUUCGGUCGUGCACGCCCGAGCGCUCCUACACAAUCCAUCUCACCCCUUCUGCAUCACCGCGUGGCUCCCUUUCUGGCUCGUCCGGAGAGGGGCUCGCGUUUUCACACAAACUUGAAGUAGUGUAGAAUGUCCUUUUUUUGCGAUAACACGCAAUCAAUACAACUUUCAACAACGGAUCUCUUGGCUCUC
rnacentral:misc_RNA from 1 species